rnacentral:tRNA from 1 species
GGUGUUGGGGCUCAGUGGUAGAGCACUUGACUGACAUGUGUGAGGCCCUGGGUUCAAUCCUCAGCACCACAU